CUACGUGCCAGCAGCCGCGGUAACACGUAAGGGGCGAGCGUUGUUCGGAAUUAUUGGGCGUAAAGGGUAUGUAGGCGGUUAGGUAAGCCUGGUGUGAAAUCUACGAGCUCAACUCGUAAACUGCAUUGGGUACUGCUUGACUUGAAUCACGGAGGGGAAACCGGAAUUCCAAGUGUAGGGGUGGAAUCUGUAGAUAUUUGGAAGAACACCGGUGGCGAAGGCGGGUUUCUGGCCGAUGAUUGACGCUGAUAUACGAAGGUGCGGGUAUCGAACAGGAUUAGAUACCCUGGUAGUCCGCACGGUAAACGAUGGAUGCCCGUUGUUAGGCUGUUUCAGCCUAGUGACCAAGCGAAAGCAUUAAGCAUCCCACCUGGGGAGUACGCCGGCAACGGUGAAACUCAAAGGAAUUGACGGGGGCCCGCACAAGCGGAGGAACAUGUGGUUUAAUUCGAUGAUACGCGAGGAACCUUACCCGGGCUUGAAUUGCAGACGAACGAUUCAGAGA
rnacentral:rRNA from 1 species